rnacentral:rRNA from 1 species
CACGUAGGCGGACUGGAAAGUCAGGGGUGAAAUCCCGGGGCUCAACCCCGGAACUGCCUUUGAAACUCCCGGUCUUGAGGUCGAGAGAGGUGAGCGGAAUUCCGAGUGUAGAGGUGAAAUUCGUAGAUAUUCGGAGGAACACCAGUGGCGAAGGCGGCUCACUGGCUCGAUACUGACGCUGAGGUGCGAAAGCGUGGGGAGCAAACA